UACAGACUCUAACAUGACAAGACAAUGAGGAAAGGCAGAUAUGACAAUGUUGCGAUAGAAUUAAGUCCUCGAAGAAAGAGAAGAAUGAGAACCAACGAAAAAUGAAGAGACCUUAAGAAUCCUUUGCCAGCAGCCUUCUUCUGGUUUAGAGUCCAGCAAGCAGAGACCACAAUGUUUGAAAGAAGCUUCAGCACAUACAAUUCUUCGCAACUCCUUUGGAUCCCUGGAAAUUGUUCAUCUGGUGAGCUGAGAUCAUUAGUGAAAAUUUCCUGUGACUUCUGGAACUUUCUAAUCAUGUCAUGGCUGGUGAUAACAAUAGUGGAUUUUUAUGGGAAUGCUGCUUCUCAAGGAGAAUUUUGGAUUUACUUCCUGCAGGUGGAAACUUUUAUUCUCUAAGUUUAAAAGAAAGUGGAACUAACCGGGAGGAAGAAAGGCUGCAUCCACGGAAGGCAGAGCUCUGCAGAUCUCUUGAUGCUCGAGGCCACCAGAAGACAUUUAUUUGCCUUUUCAUUACUAUCUUUCUCAAGUGAUGUGAACACCUAAUUUGGGCCUGAUAAAGGGAAGAAAGCUGGAUCCAAGGCCUUUGAGAACUCCAAAAGGAAAGGAGGAUUAAUAAAGUAUGUCAUCAGACUGACACCCCAUACAUUGUCCUGUGUUUCAGUUUGAUCUUCAUCAAACACAUCAACUGGAGAACAGCCCUGGACCCAUCAGCCACAGGCCUUAAUAUGAUCCAGAUUCUACCUUCAUCGUAGCUCUGAAAAAUACAUUG